AGAACGAACAAAGAGACUCAUUGUUUAGGCCUUACUGUGAGCGUUGGUAUCGCUGCGUCAGGUGGCCUGGGAUUACGUUCAGAUCCUACGUGAUUAUGUGCUAUUAUUAUUAUUAUUAUUAUUAUUAUUAUUAUGUUGCGAUUGUUGAUUCUACGACGUAGUGGUGCAAACAUUCCUAUGAAGAUCCAGCGGGCGGUGGAACUGAUAGCCGCUGGUGGGCGUCAUGUCCACAGUCUGUUUCCUUCAGUGACCGGCGCGUGGCCAUUCCAGCUGUAAGUAUGGAGGAGAUAAUGACCCCUAAGGCCGAAAUUGCCAAUAGAAGAAACCCAGCUGGACCGAUGGCAAGACUCCCUCCUCGUCCAGUUAGCAUUGAGGAAAGAAGCAGCCUGAAGAGUUAACGUUGCCCUUCACUCACCCCGGCAGCACAAAAAAAGCUGCAUACUCCUUUGUUACCAAGAAGGCAAAUGAGACGCACGCCAAGAACGGGACACAGGAUGGGCCAAGGUCAUCACUGAUGCAGAGCUGCGUCAUCCCAUUGGCUAAAUAAUGCAGUGUAAUUAUUA